GCGGGCGUUUCCUGCGUCCCCGGGCGUCGCGGGCGCCGGUUCCAGGGCUCCCGCCAGGUCGCGGGCGCGCGGCGACCCCUCCGGGAAGCGGGUCCCCAUCGUAGAAUCACAGAACCCCUGCGCCAUCCUGUUAGCUGUCACCUACUGAGAUGUAGCUCUACAGGGCAUCUCAUUGGACCCUCGCCCCUUUAAGGAUAGAGGAGCAUAUUAAAUGUCCCUAUGGGGAUGUAACCAGCAAAAUCCAGCCUCUGGAAGCAAAUUCACUCAGUUUCUACAGUAAUAUCACUCAGGACGAAGAAGAAAAAAGAAGAAAGAAAGAAAGAAAGGAGAGAAGUGGAGGAGAAAACCAAUAAAUUAAAAAAAAAAAACUUAACCAACUGCAGUAAAUGGUUUAAACUUAUUGAGAUUCUGAAUCAAAGAACAAGCUGUUGAAAAAAUAAUUUUUCA